rnacentral:rRNA from 1 species
UGGUGGAGUGAUUUGUCUGCUUAAUUGCGAUAACGAACGAGACCUUAACCUGCUAAAUAGCCCGUACUGCUUUGGCAGUUCGCCGGCUUCUUAGAGGGACUAUCGGCUCAAGCCGAUGGAAGUUUGAGGCAAUAACA